UUUAGAGUGGUUAGUUGGAAUGGUUAGACAGGAAUCGUAGAAGGUACAACAAGAAGAAGCGUGAACGGUUCAUCUAAAUGUCAGGUCUACUGCGAAAGUGACGAUUCGUACGGUUGAUCGGAUGUACAGUGGAGGAUAAAAGGAUGUUUAUAGAACGAGAAGCGUGAAGAGACAUAAUCCUACAAAAUGGAUUUAUAUUUAACGGAUCAACGAAUAAAUACAAUUUACCUCGUGCAGUGAGUCACUGUUACCAAUAUGGUAAGACAUUUUUUGUACAGAAGUUACUGAAAUUUGUAUUGUAUCAAUUUGAAACUUUCUUUUAUCUACCACCCUAUAUAUGUAGUGAUUAUUUCACCAAUGACUAAAUAAUGCAAUAAUGAAUAAAGAUUAUGGAAAUAUAAUAUUAUACCUUUGUUCUUAUGUAAAUUAACGUAGUUGCCAAUGGUACGAAUGGGUUCAUGCAAUAGAAACGUUUAAUUAAGAAUGAAAUUGAGAAAUGAAAGGAAAUGACCAUUCGUCGUAUAAUUAUGUCGUAUAAUAUUAAAACGGUAAACUAUCAAAGAUCAAGUUGCGAAACGAUGUGUAGAAAUUGGGUGAGUGUAACAUUGUAGCAAAUAAUUUUGUAUAAAUAGUACAAGAUACGUUUUAACGAAUACCCUUGAUACUUUACUUAUUCUUAUUCUCAUACGUCGUAUUAGUAUUUUCUAAUCGUUCAAAAAAUAUAAAUAAAUAUAAAUAGUUCUACUUUA